CGCGGCCUAUCAGCUUGUUGGUGGGGUGAUGGCCUACCAAGGCGACGACGGGUAGCCGGCCUGAGAGGGUGUCCGGCCACACUGGGACUGAGAUACGGCCCAGACUCCUACGGGAGGCAGCAGUGGGGAAUAUUGCACAAUGGGCGCAAGCCUGAUGCAGCGACGCCGCGUGGGGGAUGACGGCCUUCGGGUUGUAAACCUCUUUCAGUACCGACGAAGCGUAAGUGACGGUAGGUACAGAAGAAGCACCGGCCAACUACGUGCCAGCAGCCGCGGUAAUACGUAGGGUGCGAGCGUUGUCCGGAAUUACUGGGCGUAAAGAGCUCGUAGGUGGUUUGUCGCGUUGUUCGUGAAAACCUAAGGCUUAACCUUGGGCGUGCGGGCGAUACGGGCAGACUGGAGUACUGCAGGGGAGACUGGAAUUCCUGGUGUAGCGGUGGAAUGCGCAGAUAUCAGGAGGAACACCGGUGGCGAAGGCGGGUCUCUGGGCAGUAACUGACGCUGAGGAGCGAAAGCGUGGGGAGCGAACAGGAUUAGAUACCCUGGUAGUCCACGCCGUAAACGGUGGGUACUAGGUGUGGGUUUCCUUCCUUGGGAUCCGUGCCAUAGCUAACGCAUUAAGUACCCCGCCUGGGGAGUACGG
rnacentral:rRNA from 1 species